ACACAAAAACACAAAGACUUGCCAGAUGACAACUGAAUGAACGUGAUGUAUGUAACAAAAUCUGUACUCUGUUGCUUCACUUCCUCUUUUUUUUUUUUUUUUUUAAGACAGUGAAACCUUUAUAAGGAAGAUUAAUUCUUCCCUUGGUCUUUAAGGACCAUUCUCUCCUGACAACCACUUAGCUGAAUCCCCCAAAUCUAACUUGAAAAAACAACAAUCGCGCACUGUCAAGCAAGUUGUUCCUGGGGACUUUAGAAAUCUACAACACCUACAACCGAAGAGGUCAGUUUUAUGGGGACAUUUGGACAAAACUCGCCUGUUCACUGGCUAGAGCAAACCUCUAGAGCAAACCUCUCAGCUAAUCCUACAUCCAGAGGAAGGGACCCUUCAGACUCAGGAAACAGAGAGACUUCCAGAAGAAGCAAAGCAGGAGAGGCUUCCUGGGGAUAGGGUGGAAGCACCUCAAGAAACAGUCUAACUGGGCAGAUCAUCUGGUCCCAGUCAUAAGCAACAGAGUGGAAAUGAUGGGCAGAAUGCUGCACGUGUGAAUUCUUUAGCACAGGCUCCGGAUGCGCAGGCUCAGUGGCCAUGGCUCACGGGCCCAGCCGCUCCGCGGCACGUGGGAUCUUCCCGGACCAGGACACGAACCCGUGUCCCCUGCAUCGGCAGGUGGACUCUCAACCACUGCGCCACCAGGGAAGCCCAUGAAGCUGGUUAUUUGCAUGAACUUUCCUUGGCUCUGUCUUCUCAGACGUAAUCAUUUUAAAACUCAUCCCCAAGAGCUACGGAAGAAGAACACAGUGCCGUGGCUACAUUCUGCUUAAAUGCUCCGGCCCAGCCACAGCUCCUUUAAAUAGUGCAGAACAGGGAAGACCCUACUCAACGGCGGCUCACAAUCUAAACCCGCUGACAUCUUUGAACACUUAUUGGUUGAAGAGACUAAAACAACAUAAAUAAUCAGCCAUGAGCAGAUAAAAGUUGCUAAUGUCUUUUGACUAACGGUAACUACAAUGUGAGACCAGAGUUUCACAUUCAGAGAAUGUUGAGGGGUCAAGGAAGAAACUACAUUCGUUUUUUAUUGCAUUCUCACAUGUUUUUCCCCAUCUUUUAAAAAUAUCAAAACAAACUACAGGACUUCCCUGCUGGUCCAGUGGUUAAGACUCCGCGCUCCCAAUACAGGGAGCCUCGGUUUGAUCCCUGGUCGGGGAACUAGAUCCGGCAUGCCGCAAAUAAAGAUCCCGCACUCUGCAACAAGAUCCUGCAUGCAGCAACAAAGACCCCGCAUGCCGUAACUAAGAGCCGGCGCAGCCAAACAAACAAACAAACAAAUAAUAACAUCUAAUUAAAAAAACGAAACUUUAUUCUCUGAGUAUUCUGAGGUUAUGCUUUCCAAAGCGCUGUUUGGGGGCAAAGUGGUGUCAGGAUUCCUGGGAGAAAUAGGAAGGACAUUAGAAAACGGGCACCAGAAUUCAGUUCCUAUGUUUUUCAACCCUGAAAGCAUCUUCACUUUCCUGCUGGGGAUUCCAAUUUCAUAAAGGUUUUUAAAAAAUAAAUAUUUGUAGAUUGUGGUUUUCUAAUGUAAAUUGUAUCAAAGGAUAGCAUUCUUGCCAACAAGUGCAUAAAAUGUGAUAAGCUCACUGAAUUUUUCACAAAGCGAAGGCAGCCGUGUGAGCAGCACCCAGAUCCUGAAGCAAAACAUGCCUUCAGGGCCCCUCACAGUCCCUGCAAUCAUUAACCCUCCCUUCCCCACAGUCACAUCAAUUCUGACCUCCAACACCAUCACUUAAAGAUUUGUUGAAGAAAAACUAUUGAUUUGUCUUAUUUUGUCCAUAAUAACUGGCACAGUGCCUGGCACAUAAUACUUGUUUAAUAACUUGUUUAAUACUUGUUGAAUGAGUGAAAGAAAGCAAACGGGUGUCUAACUUUUACAAGACAGUGGAUCAAAUUAACAUACAUAAUAUACUAGGGGGAAAGGGGCAUUACACUGGGUGAGAACUGGGAUCUGGGGAUGCUAACUUGGACAAAAGUUGAAAACUCAAACUUCAAACAGAAGAGUACAUUUUAGUUUUAUCUUUUAACAAAUGUAAACAAUUUGAAUAAAUCUAAUCCUCUGCAAUUUUCCUUGGGCUUUAAUCAACUCCGCUCACAUCACAUCCACUGUAACUGGUGAGGCCAACCUCCAGAGAUCUUGUUUCUCUUUCUCAUUUGUAAAUGGACCCAUGCAGCCAAGAAAUGACUAUUUUCAGCCCUUCUCCACCCCACUCUGAGGCCCAGUCAGUCAGAAAACAAAAUAAGAGUCACCCUCUUCCUCAGCCAAAGCAUGUGAUCUCUGGCCAGAGCCCUUCCCGCCCUAAUGAAUGAGGUAAUGAGGGGCCAAAUAAGGUUUCAUAUGUAUGUCGCCUCAGAAUUACAGUUUAUCUUCACUGUGCUUUUAAAAAGCUGGAAUU